rnacentral:lncRNA from 1 species
UUUUUAGCCGCAGUGCUGUAAGAACCUUUUUUUACGUUUCUAGUCAACGCUGCAGCGCUGGUAGGAGGCAUCCGUGUUUUGACCAUUGGUGCGGCAACAACGGCGGUAACGCCUUUCUCUGCCCGGAAAACUGCACGUGUCCACCAAAUGGUUUUGGAGGGCAUUAUGGAGUGCAGUGUGUGCCCGAGUCUUAGGAAAGAACAUGUAACAAAAGAAUUGUUCAAUAAACAAUCAAAUGACAUUCAUUGAUGAC